rnacentral:rRNA from 1 species
GACGAACGCUGGCGGCGUGCUUAACACAUGCAAGUCGAACGAUGAAAGCGGAGCUUGCUCCGCUGGAUUAGUGGCGAACGGGUGAGUAACACGUGGGCAACCUGCCCCAGACUCUGGGAUAACUCCUCGAAAGAGGUGCUUAUACCGGAUACGAACUCCUUGGGCAUCCUUGGAGCUGGAAAGUUUUUCGGUCUGGGAUGGGCCCGCGGCCUAUCAGCUUGUUGGUGGGGUAGCGGCCCACCAAGGCGACGACGGGUAGCCGGCCUGAGAGGGCGACCGGCCGCACUGGGACUGAGACGCGGCCCAGACUCCUACGGGAGGCAGCAGUGGGGAAUAUUGCGCAAUGGGCGAAAGCCUGACGCAGCGACGCCGCGUGAGGGAUGACGGCCUUCGGGUUGUAAACCUCUUUCAGCAGGGAAGAAGCGAAAGUGACGGUACCUGCAGAAGAAGCACCGGCUAACUACGUGCCAGCCGCCGCAGUAA